UCACUUUGCCAGUGCAUAUACUACAAUUGGAAUCAUACAGAGAAGAUUAGCAUGGCCCCUGUGCAAGGAUCACAUGCAAAUUCUUUUUUUUUAAUAUUCAUUU